UGCCCGGGACCCAGUUCAAGUAAUUCAGGAUAGGUUGUGUGCUGUCCAGCCUGUUCUCCAUUACUUGGCUCGGGGGCCGGUGCCC
ensembl:miRNA microRNA 26b